AGCUUGCGAGAAGCGUAUGUGUUGCGCUGGCGGACCAACGUGCCACGGGGCAGUCCUCUUACCCUCCUUGUAUGGGCAGCGCUCGGAGGGCGGACCCUCACUGCACCGGGGCACGACAGAUGGCGUGCCCUGGCGUGCAGCUCAUCAUUUUAAAGCAGCUCAAGAGCCUCAAAAUAAAGCAGGAGCUGAAGAGCCGCGAUGCAUUCACCGUCAGCCGAGCGAGCGAGCGGCGCAUAGAGGCGUGCGAGAGCUGGGGGCGGGGAGGGGGGUGGUGGAGGGGAUGGUGGGAGAGUGCGUGGGGAGCCCAAUCAUCCAAGCUCUCUCCUCCCCCCCCCCCAACAUCAUCUAUUUAUCUGCACGGCUGGCUGGUGGGCUGCGAUUUCGCACUCUUUCGGCUGCACCAGCGUUCGGAGGCUGCAGGCGCCCUUCACACGAUGUCUGUCUCGAGCCCGCGCGUGCGUCUUGCACGCGCGGCUUGACGAGCGGGAUUCUCCGGCGCUGGAGAGGAGCGGAUGGGGAUUAAGCGAGGCUCGUCGCUAUCGGUGUCAAAACCUCCCCGUACACAUGGACAGAGGAGGAGGAUGCAAUUAAAAUGGCCGUGCGCAUGAUGUCUGGAUAUCUGCCUAAACUGCAAUUUAAAAUCGCUCUUCAGAGAUUUCCAUUACUGUCAUAUCUAACAUAUGAUCUCAUGAUGAGCAUCACUUUGGGUUGUGCGCCUUCCGGCCUCGGACAGCUGCCGUUGCCCCUGGAAAUAAUGCGAAGGACUUACAGAAAAGUAAUUUGAGUGUCUCUGAAAUAAUUUGGUGAGAUUUGGUGAGAAAAGGUUGUUGCUCACGCUGCUGCAAAUGGAAUCCUCGGAGCAAAUUCCUCUUAGAACGACAGGAGCCUAUCCUCAUAGCUGGUGCCAAUCAUCCUCCGGGCCAACCGCCAACCAGCAGAGUCGAGGCUCCAUUUCAGUACCGUGGACAGCUCCGAAAGGGCACCCUGCCACAGCAACGGCAGCGUCAGUUGCAACGACGGCUCGGCUUCUCUUGACCGGAUCUUCAGGCGUGCAACCGAGCGGUCAGGGGGAGACAUCCUUCACGGCGCAAAAUUGCGGCACAAACGAGGUGAACAACACGGCGAGGCGGCACUCGCAAAACUACGUGGACGUGGAAUUGGUGGCCAUCAGCCCCGUGUCGGUGUCGAGGCGCACUGUGCAGCCGAGGGCUGUCGACAUGACCCCAACGCCUGGCAGUGAAUCGUACCCGGCCGAUGACAACGGUGAACCUGUGGAUUACGGCUUCAUCAUCUCCCUCAUUUUCCUCUUCGCUGGGAUUGUCCUUGUGGUCAUCGCAUACCUGGUGCCGAGAGAGGC